GGGAUAAGCAUUGGGUCCAUCCUACUUAUAGUAUUUUUCGCCCUGAGUGUGGUGUAUUUGGUGGGAGGUAUAAUCUUGAUGAAGUUUCACAGAGGUGCUUCCGGUCAGGAGAUGAUCCCCAACAGGGCGUUUUGGGCAGCACUUCCAGGCUUCAUUAAGGAAGGUGUCUUGUUCUUAAGGAGAGGAUGCAAACCAGGAACCGGCAGCUACGAAAAAAUGUAAUACAAGCAUGUAAAUGUAGCUGAGAUGUCUUCAGUUGUGGGAGGUGCGUCAGUGGUUACCAACUUGAAAGAGGUUACUGUCAUUACCAGGUCGCACCGGUUAUUUUUAAAUAAAAAACAAUGACGUUUGAGUUUCCGUCAGGGUAAACCCUCUGUUGAAACCUAUCUAUCUAGAAUUCUAUGUUGAUGGCUUUUUUUGUCAAAAAGAUCGUUGGUUUAAACAUGGGACUACUGUUUCCUCAUCUGUAAAUCUAUCAUUUUAAGGGAAAACUUGUAUGGGAUAAACAGCCAUCAAAUAAAUACUUUGACUUUACAGAAGAUGUGCAGAAUACAUCGUAAAUAGUAUUCGAAAGACACCACUUUUAACAAAUAACGGCUGAAUGAUUUUAACAGUGUGGCAAUUUAGAAAGCUGUAUAAGAAAGUACAAAGAAAUUUUGAUAUCGAAGAAGCCAAGCGGAAGUCUCGGCCUAAUGUAAGGCUAUCCGGCCGUCCCCUCACUGCCCCCCUGCCUAUCAUCAAUGAGAAACACUAAACAAACAGCAUACAGAGAUAGUAUAUACAUUUAUAAACCAUCUGCAAUUAUUUCUCUACAGUGUAUCGAGAAGUCUUAGUACCUGUAACGUGUACUUGAGAUAAGAUAAAUAAAUGUUAAUUUUAUUUACAAACCUAAGCUGACUUAUUAUC